UUGUCAGGUGGGAUAAUCCUCACCUGUUUCUCCUUUUUGUAGAACAGGCUUGAAUAUGAUGAUUGGAGUUCACAUGAUUCGUGAUUAACGUCUCUACGGAGUCAGGACUUGAAACACCCUGAUUGCUCUUAUCUGAU